GUAGCGAUACUUUGAUGAGAGUGGCGCACGGGUGCGUAACGCGUAUGCAACCUACCUUUAACUGGGAGAUAGCCCCGAGAAAUCGGGAUUAAUACCCCAUAACAUUACGAAUUGGCAUCAAUUUGUGAUUAAAGCUCCGGCGGUUAGAGAUGGGCAUGCGUGACAUUAGCUGGUUGGUGAGGUAACGGCUCACCAAGGCAACGAUGUCUAGGGGUCCUGAGAGGGUUAUCCCCCACACUGGUACUGAGACACGGACCAAACUCCUACGGGAGGCAACACUAAGGAAUAUUGGUCAAUGGGCGCAAGCCUGAACCAGCCAUGCCGCGUGCAGGAAGACGGCCCUAUGGGUUGUAAACUGCUUUUAUCAGGGAAUAAACCCCCGCUCGAGAGCGGGGCUGAAGGUACCUGAGGAAUAAGCAUCGGCUAACUCCGUGC
rnacentral:rRNA from 1 species